UACGUAGGGGGCAAGCGUUGUCCGGAAUCAUUGGGCGUAAAGAGCGCGUAGGCGGCCCAGUAAGUCCGCUCUGAAAGUCAGGGGCUCAACCCCUGAAAUGCGGGUGGAUACUGCUGGGCUAGAGUCCGGAAGAGGCGAGUGGAAUUCCUGGUGUAGCGGUGAAAUGCGCAGAUAUCAGGAGGAACACCAAUGGCGAAGGCACUCUACUGGGCCAUAACUGACACUAAGAGACGAAAGCUAGGGGAGCAAAUGGG
rnacentral:rRNA from 1 species